UACGUAGGCAGCAAGCGUUUGUUCGGAGUUACUGGGCGUAAAGGGUGCGUAGGCGGCCUUAUAAGUAUGGUGUGAAAUCUCCCGGCUUAACUGGGAGGGUGCGCUAUAGACUGUGGGGCUAGAGUGUGGGAGAGGAAAGUGGAAUUCCUGGUGUAGCGGUGAAAUGCGUAGAUAUCAGGAGGAACACCGGUGGUGUAAACGGCUUUCUGGACCAUAACUGACGCUGGAGGCACGAAAGCGUGGGUAGCAAACAGG
rnacentral:rRNA from 1 species